CGUGUAGGCGGACGUGUAAGUCCGGUGUAAAAGCCCCCGGCUCAACCGGGAAGGCCAUCGGAGACUGCGCGUCUAGAGUGCGGGAGGGGAGAGUGGAACUCUUGGUGGAGCGGUGAAAUGCGUAGAUAUCAAGAGGAACGCCGGUGGCGAAAGCGGCUCUCUGGCCCGUUACUGACGCUGAGGCGCGAAAGCUAGGGGAGCAAACGGGAUUAGAUACCCCGGUAGUCCUAGCCCUAAACGAUGGGUACUAAGUAGGGGCGGCUCCGAUGUCGUCUCUGCUGUAGCCAAUGUGCUAAGUACCCCGCCUGGGGAGUACGGUCGCAAGGCUGAA
rnacentral:rRNA from 1 species